rnacentral:lncRNA from 1 species
CGGGCGGGGACCGGGACGCAGCGCGCGCCCCGCCACGGACCAGGAUCUUUUUCGGAAAGGAGAAAGAAUCUUCUUGUCGGGCUUCCACGGCGACUCCCCCCCCCCCCUUUUUGUUGUAGCUGUUUAGUUGCGUGCGGAGGGCGGGACCGAAGGCGAAACGAACAAGGCGCGGCCGAGAGCCCCCUUCACACGUGCGAGACAAAGGGACGCAGGAGCGCAGGCGGACCGUCCCCUCCCGAACUUUUCCCGCCGGCCCCGGGACGCGGGGAGAGGUGGAAGCUGCGUUUAUCCUCCACCUCGGACGGAGUUUGUGGAUUUACCGGCGGUGGGAGACGACUUCUUGUGGGAUUACACGGACAUUUUGCGUCAGGGAAUUGAACUGGAGACAAGCCGGCCGUCUGAAUUCCCAAAAUGCCACACCAAGCUGUGUCAACCCAGCAGAGCAGCCAGGAUGGCCAGAGAGGAGGACACUGAAGCACAGUGAGCUCAGCUCACGUCUGGUGUGAGCUGUGCUGAGUCAGAAGGAAGCACAUCCCUCUGCAGAGCCCAGGAUUCUGCCCCAGAGGCUUCCAUAAACAAUGACCCACUUGAGACAAGAAGCCAGACAAAGGCCAGUUUUCAGGGCUCUUCCAAUGUUCUGCCGGUCCCGGAGUGUUGAGCCACGUCGAACUUUGACCCACAACCCCUCCUCACCUCACCCCAGACUUUGUUUUCUAAGAUGACCUCUGGUUCCCAUAGCGCCUCCUAUCCCUCAUAUUCUGGGUGACCAGGAACAGAGGAGCAGGUGAUUCAUUCCCAUUCACAGAACGUGCUGUGUUUCCAAAAAUGCUUUUGUAAAAGGAUGCAUACAGCAUGUGAAGUAAUGUAUGCAAUGUCUGUUCAUCUGUUUGCAGUGUAAUAUACACCAUAUACACCAUAUACACCAGAAAUUUGGGCCCAGUUUGUAUAACUGGUAUACACACUAACAUUAAAAAGAUUAGGGUCAUUUAGAAAUGUCUGUUUUUCAUGAAAAAUUGGUUAGAAUGGAUAUGUGUUGUGAUCAACUUGAUGUUUGACAAUUUUUUUUUCAAAACUGAGGAUAUUUCUAAAUGAUCCUAAACUUUUGAACUAUUAUAUAUAUAAAAUAUACACUUCCCUUUUCAAAAUUAUGAAUGACUGGUGUUGACGUGAAAUCAUUUUCAGCUACAUAUAUGUGUGUGUGUGUGUGUGUGUGUGUGUGUGUGUGUGUGUGUGUGUGUGUGUGUGUGUGUAUAUAUAUAUAUAUAUAUAUAUAUAUAUAUAUAUAUAUAUAAAUGUCUGUAUGUAAAAUAAUAUACAAUGUUAGAUGUAAAGAUGAAAGAUA